rnacentral:rRNA from 1 species
CGGCGGACGGGUGAGUAACGCGUGGGUAACCUGCCUCAUACAGGGGGAUAACAGUUAGAAAUGACUGCUAAUACCGCAUAAGACCACGGUACCGCAUGGUACAGUGGUAAAAACUCCGGUGGUAUGAGAUGGACCCGCGUCUGAUUAGGUAGUUGGUGGGGUAACGGCCCACCAAGCCGACGAUCAGUAGCCGACCUGAGAGGGUGACCGGCCACAUUGGGACUGAGACACGGCCCAG